UUACCUGAGAUGUCAUUGGUUUUUUUAAUUUAAAAAAGAGCGGCUUCAAUGGCGUUUUUAGACGGUACAAAACGAGCCUCUUGUUUGCUUUUUGAUUACGAAAAACAAAAUUAGGACAGAGUUCAACCUCUUUUAACCGAUAACGACCAACCUACACGCAACAAUUGUUUCUAUGCGAAAAAAAAGUUUUCAAUUAGUUAUUCUGAAAAAUCACAAAAUUUAACGGUCGAUUUUAAAAGAAUUUUGUUACCAAUAGAUUAUGACUCGUGGGAAACCGGAUUGGCCACAGGUUUUUCUCGACUUUAGCGACAAAGUUUAGGGUUUUACAACUUUUAUCCCAAGUUCAAAUUUUGCAUUUCUUCGUUUCAUUUGUCGUUUUUUUCCUCCGCUGAUCGACAAUGCUACAUUUGGGGAAAGAGAGAUAUAUACAAGACACGUGAAAGAUAAUUCGAACAUGAUAAUGAAAAAAACCUGAAAAACAAUGAAUAUUUAAAGGCAUAUGAAACAGUAACAAGAAACCGUUACCCAAAACUCGUAUUGUUAGUUGGACAUCAUCGCAGCAGUUUUGGAAUGGAAAAAUAAUGAUGGCGUCGCACACCCACCGCAUGUUUGACCAGGGCAUCAGCUGUGGGUUUGACCUGAUUUUCAUCAUAACAACGAAAAUGUCUACUUCAUUUUAAAUUGAAAAUAGUUUUUAUCAAGGGUAAAAAGAGAAAAACGAUAGAACAUGUUUUUUGUUGUUGUUUUUUUUCCCUGUGGUAGUAGAGCGGGGAAAUUAUCAUGCUGCUCCACAGCUGAUAGCCAUGGGCUGUGCACAUCUUUAUCGGCUAUUACUUUCUCUGAUAAUCACACGUUAAGCAAAUUUUGAUAACAAAAGUGGGGGUAAAAAAAAAUAAAACAUAAACCAACAAGUUUCUUUUUCCUUACGAGUUCACAAUAAAAAUGUUAGCCGGUAAAUAUUCCAGUCCACUCACGUGGUCAAAGCGUUGGCACAGGCCAUUGCACAUUGAAAAAGCACAAGCAAGAAAUGAAUAUCACCAUGAACUGGAAAAAAGUAAAAGGGGAUUUCCGGAUUUCUAGCUUGAAAGCUAUAAGGCUCAAUGCUUUAGUUAAUUCAUAGAUUAAUUAAGCUUACAUCUUUUAAAACUUGAACAAGCAUGUGUGUAGAAUCCGGGUGACUCAUGGGUAAACGAAAGAAAGAAACAUAUUUACCAAUAGUUUCAGGCAAGUUUUAGUUAUUCAAGGACACAACAGCUGUUAAUUCCAUAACUUUGAGCACAAUUUCACUUUGCAAAGAUAUGUUAGAAUGUAGGAGAAGUUAUUGAUUUAAUUGUAAUUCAAACAGGUAUCACACAGACAUCCAUUCGUACUCCGGCGAGGCAAGAAGUGAUGCUUUUCGCCAUCUAGCGGUGAGACAGUAAGCCCGUAACUUAAUUUCUUGUUUUUUUUGUUUGUUUUUUUUCAAAAACGAUUCUUUCUCAGGAGUGACACAAAUAAACAAAAAGCAAAUGGGAUUUACUGAUAACCUGGAAUGGGCUAAGGACUGUACAAAAACAAAGGUUGCAAAAAGAUAGCAACCAAAAUCGAGAGGUAAAGGAUUUUAAAACUGAGGAGAGUUGGAGACAAUUGGAUCCUGCUGGCCAUUGUGAUGUCAUUCGCCACUGGAACAAUUUCCAAUCUGAUUUUUUAAUUUUAUGUUAAAAGAUUGAUCAUUGGUGAUUUGGUCUGAUACCUAUAAAGUAUGAUCUGAAACUUGGCUUGGUGGUCAAGCAAAUUACAAUAGAUUUGAAAAAGAAGAAUGUUAGGAAAAAGAGGACAAAGACGCGUGACAAAGAAAUACGAGUGGCGUAUAUAUGACGAUGAUGUUCGUGUUUGGCCUAUGCCCAAAAUUGAAUCAUUAUUAUGGCUGAUGGUCAAGUAGCGUGUCAGGUCAAGUCCUUUUCCCCGUGUCCACCUUGACUUGAAUAAGUAUAUUACGAUUGACUCUUAUGAUUCUAAUAGAUUUAAAUGCAUGCCUACAUAGAGAGAAAAGGGAAAUAAAAGGUUGGCUCCAACAUUUUACGAAGAG